rnacentral:rRNA from 1 species
AAUGAACGCUGGCGGCGUGCCUAACACAUGCAAGUCGAACGAGAAAUUUCCGCUUCGGUGGAAAAAGUAAAGUGGCGCACGGGUGAGUAACGCGUGGGUAACCUGCCUUUGAAUCUGGGAUAACCCCGUGAAAACGGGACUAAUACUGGAUAAUGUCCCUUUGGCUGUGGCCUUAGGGAUGAAAGGUGACCUCUUCAUGAAAGUUGCCGUUCAAAGAGGGGCCCGCGUACCAUUAGCUUGUUGGUGGGGUAACGGCCUACCAAGGCUACGAUGGUUAGCUGGUCUGAGAGGAUGAUCAGCCACACUGGAACUGGAACACGGUCCAGACUCCUACGGGAGGCAGCAGUGAGGAAUUUUGCGCAAUGGGGGAAACCCUGACGCAGCAACGCCGCGUGAGUGAUGAAGAUUUUCGGAUCGUAAAGCUCUGU